GGCUACCCCGCUGCAGUGGAAACGCGCCAUUAGUUGCAGACAGCUGCAAUGGAAAAAACCGCUGCACUAUCAGUGCAACCAAUUCCGAGUUUGAAGACCCUUGUGGCGGCACUUACAAGUAGCUGGAGGUGGCUUACACUUGUAUCCUUCGUCGGGAUUAGCUUCCAAACAAUAAACCUCUUAACAUACUGAUAUCCCUGUAAUAUAAGAAAGAAAACCCCAUGGAAAUGAAAUGGUGCAUCUCAAAGUUUUCC